AUUUAUAAACAUCAACAUAAACAAAUAUGCGUAAGUGUCCCGUGCUCAUUUAUCUAGCUAUAUAAAUACGUACAUUAACCAUGUUAACCAUACGAAUACAGGUUCAUACCGAGGGAAUAACUUACACAGAUACAAUAUAUGUUCCAUUAUUGAAUAUAUACAAAGAACAUUGUAUGUAAAACCAUCAAUGGAACAAAAGUAUAUUACAGUAUGUGUACUGGUUGUUCUCUUUGGUACACCUGUCCGAGGCGAUGCAGAGUCGGAAGAAAAUAAAGAAUGGACUUCAGAUGAUUAUUGGUGUAUUACAAAGAAAGUUGGAGGAGCAUUGGGAAUAGGGAUGGGUGCAGUAGCUUUAGCACCCGUUGCAAUUGGUGCUGCUGGUUUUGGCAGUGCUGGUAUAAUAGCUGGGUCAUUAGCAGCUAAGGCGAUGGCAAUAUCAGCUGCUGCAAAUGGUGGUGGAGUAGUUGCCGGAGGAGUUGUUGCUGGCCUUCAGUCUGCAGGAGUUGUUGGGUUAGGCGUUGGUGCAAAAACUGCAAUCGGCGCAACAGUUGGCGGGAUAGUCGGCUAUUUUAGUGGAGGGUGCUCAGACAAUGACAUUGAUUGUCAAAAAAAAUAAAAUGAAGUCAAGUGACUAAAUAUAUUGUUUAAAUUGUACCGAUGUUUUUUUCCACUUGUACUUUUCAGAUACCAAAGCACCUAUUUGAAAUAUAAAAGUCCUCACACAAGCAAAUGUUAUUAGAAUAUUUCAGAGAUUAAAUAGUUUUUUUGUA